rnacentral:hammerhead_ribozyme from 1 species
GCCCAGCUGACGAGUCCCAAAUAGGACGAAGCACGCGUCCUGGAU